rnacentral:tRNA from 1 species
AGGGGUGUAGCUCAGCUGGUCAGAGCGCUGGUCUCCAAAACCAGAUGUCGUAGGUUCGAAUCCUGCCACCCCUGCCA